AUUGAACGCUGGCGGCAGGCCUAACACAUGCAAGUCGAGCGAGCGGCGGACGGGUGAGUCAUGUCUGGGAAACUGCCUGAUGGAGGGGGAGAACUACUGGAAACGGUAGCUAAUACCGCAUACCCUCAGAUGUGCCCAGAUGGGAUUGGCUCGUAGGUGGGGUAACGGCUCACCUAGGCGACGAUCCCUAGCUGGUCUGAGAGGAGGACCAGCCACACUGGAACUGAUACAAGUUCCAGACUCCAACGGGAGGCAGCAGGGGGGAAUAGUGCACAAUGGGCGCAAGCCUGAUGCAGCCAUGCCGCGUGUGGGAAGAAGGCCUUCGGGUUGUAAAGCACUUUCAGCGGGGAGGCGUUACCCGCAGAAGAAGCACCGGCGAACUCCGUGCCAGCAGCCGCGGUAAUUC
rnacentral:rRNA from 1 species